rnacentral:rRNA from 1 species
AGACAAUAGAUACCCGGGUAGUCCACGCCGUAAACUAUGGAUGCUAGCUGUUAGAGGUAUCGACCCCUCUAGUAGCGAAAGCUAACGCGUUAAGCAUCCCGCCUGUGGAGUACGGUCGCAAGACUAAACAUAAAGGAAUUGACGGGGACCCGCACAAGCGGUGGAGCGUGUUGUUUAAUUCGAUGGUAAGCGAAGAACCUUACCCAGGCUUGACAUCCUUGGAAUUUUGGCGAAAGCCGAGAGUGCCUUCGGGAACCAAGUGACAGGUGUUGCAUGGCCGUCGUCAGCUCGUGUCGUGAGAUGUUUGGUUAAGUCCAUCAACGAGCGCAACCCUUAUAGUUAGUUGAAUUUUUCUAGCUAGACUGCCCUGGCAACAGGGAGGAAGGAGGGGAUGAUGUCAGGUCAGUAUUACCCUUACGUCUGGGGCUACAAACACGCUACAAUGGCCGGUACAAAGGGCAGCCAAGUCGCGAGACGGAGCAAAUCCCAUCAAACGCCGGUUCUAAGUUCGGAUAGCAGGCUGAAACUCGCCUGCUUGAAGCUGGAA